CCUACGGGUGGGCAGCAGUAAGGAAUAUUGGUCAAUGGACGAAAGUCUGACCCAGCCAUGCCGCGUGGAGGAUGAAGGUCCUCUGGAUUGUAAACUUCUUUUAUAUGGGACGAAAAAAGGCCUUUCUAGGCCGUCUGACGGUACCAUAUGAAUAAGCACCGGCUAACUCCGUGCCAGCAGCCGCGGUAAUACGGAGGGUGCGAGCGUUAUCCGGAUUCACUGGGCGUAGAUGGUUCGUUAGGUGAGUGAUGAAAUCUCCGAGCUUAACUUGGAAACUGCCAUUGAUACUAUUAAUCUUGAGUAUUGUGGAGGUUAGCGGAAUAUGUCAUGUAGCGGUGAAAUGCUUAGAUAUGACAUAGAACACCAAUUGCGAAGGCAGCUGGCUACACAUAUAUUGACACUGAGGCACGAAAGCGUGGGGAUCAAACAGGAUUAGAUACCCUUGUAGUC
rnacentral:rRNA from 1 species